UGGCUCAGGAUGAACGCUGGCGGCGUGCUUAACACAUGCAAGUCGAACGAAGAUAUUAAGAAUGAGAGCUUCGGCAGGAAUUUUUCUUAUCUUAGUGGCGGACGGGUGAGUAACGUGUGGGCAACCUGCCCUGCACUGGGGAAUAAUCAUUGGAAACGAUGACUAAUACCGCAUACGGUUCCUGGGAGGCAUCUUCCGGGAAAGAAAGGAUUUAUUCGGUGCAGGAUGGGCCCGCAUCUGAUUAGCUAGUUGGUGAGAUAACAGCCCACCAAGGCGACGAUCAGUAGCCGACCUGAGAGGGUGACCGGCCACAUUGGGACUGAGACACGGCCCAAACUCCUACGGGAGGCAGCAGUGGGGAAUAUUGCACAAUGGGCGAAAGCCUGAUGCAGCAACGCCGCGUGAAGGAAGAAGGGUUUCGGCUCGUAAACUUCUAUCAACAGGGACGAAAGAAAUGACGGUACCUGAAUAAGAAGCCCCGGCUAACUACGUGCCAGCAGCCGCGGUAAUACGUAGGGGGCAAGCGUUAUCCGGAAUUACUGGGUGUAAAGGGUGAGUAGGCGGCAUGGUAAGCCAGAUGUGAAAGCCUUGGGCUUAACCCGAGGAUUGCAUUUGGAACUAUCAAGCUAGAGUACAGGAGAGGAAAGCGGAAUUCCUAGUGUAGCGGUGAAAUGCGUAGAUAUUAGGAAGAACACCAGUGGCGAAGGCGGCUUUCUGGACUGAAACUGACGCUGAGGCACGAAAGCGUGGGGAGCGAACAGGAUUAGAUACCCUGGUAGUCCACGCCGUAAACGAUGAGUGCUAGGUGUCGGGGAGGAAUCCCCGGUGCCGCAGCUAACGCAAUAAGCACUCCACCUGGGGAGUACGACCGCAAGGUUGUAACUCAAAGGAAUUGACGGGGGCCCGCACAAGCGGUGGAGCAUGUGGUUUAAUUCGAAGCAACGCGAAGAACCUUACCAAGGCUUGACAUCGUGAUGACAGGCGUAGAGAUAUGCUUUCCCUUCGGGGCAUCGGAGACAGGUGGUGCAUGGUUGUCGUCAGCUCGUGUCGUGAGAUGUUGGGUUAAGUCCCGCAACGAGCGCAACCCUUACCCUUAGUAGCCAUCAUUAAGUUGGGCACUCUAGGGGGACUGCCGUGGAUAACACGGAGGAAGGUGGGGAUGACGUCAAAUCAUCAUGCCCCUUAUGUCUUGGGCUACACACGUGCUACAAUGGCUGGCAACAAAGUGAAGCGAGACGGCGACGUUAAGCAAAUCACAAAAACCAGUCCCAGUUCGGAUUGCAGUCUGCAACUCGACUGCAUGAAGCUGGAAUCGCUAGUAAUCGCGAAUCAGAAUGUCGCGGUGAAUACGUUCCCGGGCCUUGUACACACCGCCCGUCACACCAUGGGAGUUGGAAGCACCCGAAGUCGGUGACCUGACCGUAAGGAGGGAGCCGCCGAAGGUGAAGCCAGCGACUGGGGUGAAGUCGUAACAAGGUA
rnacentral:rRNA from 1 species